UCCACAAAAGGUAAUAAAUUAACAAUAAAUUAAAAAGCCAGCAAUCAACCCCUUAUUUUCUUCCUUUUUGGGCAGCGGGAAUUUAUUUUAUUGCCCCAGGGAACUCAAUUAAUACCCAUAAAAUAACAAAAUAAUGGAAAAAUUAAUUAAAGGCCAGAAGUAAAGGGGACAUUGGUGCCUGGUAACCAAGAAUUUCCUGAAAUGAAAUUCUGGACAGUGAACUGUGAUGCCUCGGAUGCACUGGUAAUCACAUGAUAGCCUUUCCAUUUAACUCUAUUAGCAG
rnacentral:misc_RNA from 1 species